CCUACGGGAGGCAGCAGUAGGGAAUAUUGCUCAAUGGAGGAAACUCUGAAGCAGCAACGCCGCGUGGAGGAUGAAGGUCUUCGGAUUUUAAACUUCUUUUUUUAGAGAAGAUAAUGAUUGCAUGUAUCGAAUAAUCACUGGCUAAUAUCGUUCCAGCAGCCGCGGUUAUACGGCGGGUGCAAGCGUUAUUCGGAUUCACUGGGCGUAAAGAGGGCGUAGGCGGGAUAGCAAGUCAGUUGUGAAAUCCUUCGGCUUAACCGUAGAACUGCAUUUGAAACUGUUAUUCUUGAGUACAGGAGAGGUAGGUGGAAUUCGUGGUGUAGCGGUGAAAUGCGUAGAGAUCAAGAAGAAUACUGAUUGCGAAGGC
rnacentral:rRNA from 1 species